GAAAGUGGAUAUGUACCCGCCAAAAAGAAUCUGAAUGAAGUCGCCCUUUCGUGUCCUUCCUUCUCCAAAAAUGAAAAGCAUAGAAAUUCAAAGGGCACAGAGACGAGAGAGCGAGAGAGAAACGAGAAAUACGACAAGUACGACUUGGAGAAGCAGCGCGACCUCAACCCUUAUGGCGACGAUGCCUUCGCUCGUCUCUAUGCUGGCGUCAACGACAAAAUCUAAGCUGCUCUUCAGAAAGCCGAGAUGGGUGAGUAAUCGGGCUGUGGCGGUUGCAACGAAUGUGGAGAUUCGACGGACCAAAGCUUGAUUGGUGGAGGAAGUUCCUAACCUGCCGAAAUUGGCUCAAGAAAAGGUUUAUCAAAUCAUCUGUUUUUUUAUAUUAUUAUUUAUGUAUUUUUAAUUAAGCUUGAAUUUUAGGAAAUACGUCUGAUUAGAUAUGAUUUGGUGGCUGUGGGUCACCAAUUAGGCUUUUUCUCCAAUUGUUUCUUGGUUUUGGAAAAGUGGUGUGGAUUGGGCCUCUGUUGCUCUCUGUCUAUCCAUGAUGCACAACAAGAGUGUUGUUCUUGUAGUACUAGACUAGAAAUAGGAUAACUGUAGAAGAAUCUGGAAGGAACUAGACUUGGAAGACCAAUUGGCAUUUCCUCUUAUUCUGAAAUAAUUAAGAAUAGUUGGAGAAGUUUUACA